UUUCUCAUUCAAAACCAACUCUGAUUUUGACAUACGAGUACACUACUUCAUAGUGUCAAACAUUCGGUUAUUCCGACGAACGUCUUCGUCCCGAAACAUACCGAAAAUGGUCUUAAACCAUUUCGUCAAAAACGAGUUCCAACACGUAACAACUGAGAAGUCACAAAGACUUAAUGAAAGCUUGUCUCCAGGUAGAUCUACUCGGUAGAUCUUCCAAAGAAUCGAGACACGCUAGUGAGACUCUAUCAAUCCCCCAUCUUCUUGGUGAGCAUAGCUUGGUUUUUGGGAAACUCGAUAGAAAAGAAAACAGCUUGAUCUAGGAGCUGGGAUGCUCUUGCUGAAUGAAAGUGCGACACGGUUUAGCAGAAGCUCCGGAAAAGAAGUGUCGCCCUAAUCGCCGCCGCCAUCGCCCUUAGCGUUUUUUUUGUUUCGCCCUUCCCUUCCCAAUUUUGUUUUCAAAUUUUUUUGUUUCCAAUUUCGAACUUUGUUUUUCGCUUGAGUUCGUUUCUAUACAUUGUUUUUUCAUUUAAAUGUUUCUGACUUCAAUCCCUAUUACCAACAAUUACUUAUAUGACUAAACAGUGGCUCGAUUUGAUUCGGUGGUCCUGAUUAUCACCAGUAGACAGGCUUCUACUCGGGGUUAGGGGCGCUCCGCUUGCUCCAGUUCAUGACUCCUCUGAUCCUUUGCCUCGCCUCACCUUAGUAUCAAAAACACACCAAUCGAGACAUCAUCUGCGUAGUAUAUACUUCAACAGUGCACUGCUGCUUCUGGUGGACAGAAGCUUCAAAAUUUCGUGGGACCUGAGUUGCAAGUUAACAACAAUUCCGAGAAAGAUAUUACUUUUGAAGUCAAUGGAUGUCACUGAGAAAAAGCCACUUUUGAAUUCCUAUUAAGAAAAAGAAUGAAAACUGUCUUUUUGGGAAAUACCUAUUAAGUGGUACUGAAACAAUUUCAGUUUCACUUGAGGUAAAAAGAAAAUAUGCGUCACUCUCGGGUAAGCCCGUAGGGGAGGUUACCCAAGUGUCUCAGAUGUUUGGUCAAGAGAAGUCUGAGAAGAAUGGAAUGUCUCCUGGAGCAAAUGGGAAGCUGAGUGCAAUGUCUCCAAGAGCUCACAGACUUCUCAUAGUUUCAGCUAAGGGUUCAAUGAACGGUGAGUCGGUGACAGAUCUUUUUCGUCUUUCAAGGACAUCAAUGAUAAAUCGACCAAAGCGGAGUGGAUACGGUGAAUGUCUUUUGAGGCAAUAGAGAAAGCAAUCAUGGUUGUCUUACACGGUUGGACAAAGCUCUGAAACCUUUUUAAUCAUUUUAGCUGUUUUGUUUCUAUGUUUCCUGUGUGUUUUGCUUUUGUUUGGUGUGGUGAGUCUUUGACAUGUUCUCUUUAGGUUUACUCUUAGAUGUUUUGUCUUCUCAAACAAGAAGGUUUUUUGGUAUAUAGUUAUUAUAAAUGCUUCUCUUUAA